rnacentral:rRNA from 1 species
AGAACGAACGCUGGCGGCAGGCUUAACACAUGCAAGUCGAACGCGUGUAGCAAUACACGAGUGGCGCACGGGUGAGUAACGCGUGGAUAUCUGCCUUUUGGUUCGGAAUAACCCCGGGAAACUGGGGCUAAUACCGGAUGGUUCCUUCGGGAUAAAGAUUUAUCGCCAAAAGAUGAGUCCGCGUACGAUUAGCUAGUUGGUGAGGUAAUGGCUCACCAAGGCGACGAUCGUUAGCUGGUCUGAGAGGACGAUCAGCCACACUGGGACUGAGACACGGCCCAGACUCCUACGGGAGGCAGCAGUGGGGAAUAUUGGACAAUGGGGGCAACCCUGAUCCAGCCAUGCCGCGUGAGUGAUGAAGGCCUUCGGGUUGUAAAGCUCUUUUGGCGGGGACGAUGAUGACGGUACCGCAGAAUAAGCCCCGGCUAACUCGUGCCAGCAGCCGC